UGCAAGUCGAGCGGCAGCACGGGGAGCUUGCUCCCUGGUGGCGAGCGGCGGACGGGUGAGUAAUGCAUAGGAAUCUGCCCGGUAGUGGGGGAUAACGUGGGGAAACCCACGCUAAUACCGCAUACGUCCUACGGGAGAAAGCGGAGGAUCUUCGGACUUCGCGCUAUCGGAUGAGCCUAUGUCGGAUUAGCUAGUUGGUAAGGUAACGGCUUACCAAGGCGACGAUCCGUAGCUGGUCUGAGAGGAUGAUCAGCCACACUGGGACUGAGACACGGCCCAGACUCCUACGGGAGGCAGCAGUGGGGAAUAUUGGACAAUGGGCGAAAGCCUGAUCCAGCCAUGCCGCGUGUGUGAAGAAGGCUUUCGGGUUGUAAAGCACUUUCAGCGAGGAAGAAAGCCUGUCGGUUAAUACCCGACAGGAACGACAUCACUCGCAGAAGAAGCACCGGCUAACUCCGUGCCAGCAGCCGCGGUAAUACGGAGGGUGCGAGCGUUAAUCGGAAUUACUGGGCGUAAAGCGCGCGUAGGUGGCUUGGCACGCCGGUUGUGAAAGCCCCGGGCUCAACCUGGGAACUGCAUCCGGAACGGCCAGGCUAGAGUGCAGGAGAGGAAGGUGGAAUUCCCGGUGUAGCGGUGAAAUGCGUAGAGAUCGGGAGGAAUACCAGUGGCGAAGGCGGCCUUCUGGCCUGACACUGACACUGAGGUGCGAAAGCGUGGGUAGCAAACAGGAUUAGAUACCCUGGUAGUCCACGCCGUAAACGAUGUCGACUAGCCGUUGGGACCUUUAAGGACUU
rnacentral:rRNA from 1 species